ensembl:lncRNA FAM167A-AS1 FAM167A antisense RNA 1
AUCAAUGCACCUUUAUAGAUACCUGCAUCUGUGUAACCGCUACCCAGGAUCAAGAAUACAGAAUAUGUCAGCUCCCAGCACUCUAAUGCCCCGCCUCAUCAUUACCAACCCUGCCUCAGAGAUAACUACUAUCCUCACUUCUGUCACUAUAGAUUUAGACUUGCAAUCUACCUGGAAUUGAUGUGAGUAUGGUGUGAGACAGAACUUCAGGUUGACUUUUGGUUCUCUAUGGAUACCCAUUAGACCCAGUAGAUAUAGAACCAUAUUCAUGGCACCAGUGACUGAAGAGUCCACGCACUCCCCACUCUGCUGCAGUGUCACCGUGAUCAUAAAUCAAGUGGGUUGGGAUUUCCAGUUCCUUGAUGAAGAGAAGUUACGAGACUGGGCAUCCUUGCUUUGUUCCUAAACAGGAGGUGAAAACAUUCAGUCUUCUGCCAUUAGGUAUGAUGUUAGCUCUGGAUUUUUUACACAUUUAUUCAUUUAUUUAUUAGGUUAAAGAUGUCUUCUACUCUUAGUUUGCUAAGAGUUUUUUUAAACAUCAAUGGGAAUGUUUUCAGAAUCUUUUUAAUUUUUUUUCUACAUCUAUGGAGAUAAUUUUUUAUAGUGU